rnacentral:rRNA from 1 species
GUAGGUAACCUACCCUCAGGACUGAGAUAACCCCGGGAAACUGGGGCUAAUAUUAGAUAGAUAAAAGAUACUGGAAUGUUCUUUUAUCCAAAGCUUUUGCGCCUGAGGAUGGGCCUGCGUCCGAUUAGGUUGUUGGUGGGGUAAUGGCCCACCAAGCCUACGAUCGGUACGGGCAGUGAGAGCUGAAGCCCGGAGUUGGGGACUGAGACAAGGCCCCAGGCCCUACGGGGCGCAGCAGGCGCGAAACCUCUGCAAUGCGGGAAACCGUGACAGGGGGAUCCCAAGUGCUCAUGCAUUGCAUGGGCUGUUCUUUGGUCUAAGUAACCAGAGGAGUAAGGGCUGGGCAAGACCGGUGCCAGCCGCCGCGGUAAUACCGGCAGCUCAAGUGGUAGCCGCGAUUAUUGGGCCUAAAGCGUUCGUAGCCGGAUAAGUAAGUCUUUGGUUAAAUCCUGCGACUUAACCGUGGGAAAUCUAGAGAUACUGCUUGUCUUGAGACCGGGAGAGGUUGGAGGUACUCCCAGGGUAGGGGUGAAAUCCUGUAAUCCUGGGGGGACCACCUGUGGCGAAGGCGUCCAACUGGAACGGGU